rnacentral:rRNA from 1 species
CCUACGGGAGGCAGCAGUGGGGAAUCUUGCGCAAUGGGCGAAAGCCUGACGCAGCAACGCCGCGUGCGGGAAGAAGGCUUUCGGGCUGUAAACCGCUUUCAGCAGGAACGAAAAUGACGGUACCUGCAGAAGAAGGAGCGGCCAACUAUGUGCCAGCAGCCGCGGUGAUACAUAGGCUUCAAGCGUUGUCCGGAUUUAUUGGGCGUAAAGAGUUCGUAGGCGGUCGAGUAAGUCGGGUGUGAAAAUUCUGGGCUCAACCCAGAGACGCCACCCGAUACUGCUUGACUUGAGUUCGAUAGGGGAGUGGGGAAUUCCUAGUGUAGCGGUGAAAUGCGCAGAUAUUAGGAGGAACACCGGUGGCGAAGGCGCCACUCUGGAUCGAUACUGACGCUGAGGAACGAAAGCAUGGGUAGCAAACAGGAUUAGAUACCCUGGUAGUCCAUGCCGUAAACGGUGGGCACUAGGUGUGGGUUUCUAUUAACGAAAUCCGCGCCGUCGCUAACGCAUUAAGUGCCCCGCCUGGGGGAGGUACGGUCGCAGACUAAACUACAAGAGUAGUAGACGCGNGAGACGACGACGACGACGACGACGGAGGGAGGAGG